AGGGAAUCUUCCACAAUGGACGCAAGUCUGAUGGAGCAACGCCGCGUGAGUGAAGAAGGUUUUCGGAUCGUAAAGCUCUGUUGUUGGUGAAGAAGGAUAGAGGCAGUAACCGGUCUUUAUUUGACGGUAAUCAACCAGAAAGUCACGGCUAACUACGUGCCAGCAGCCGCGGUAAUACGUAGGUGGCAAGCGUUGUCCGGAUUUAUUGGGCGUAAAGCGAGCGCAGGCGGAAUGAUAAGUCUGAUGUGAAAGCCCACGGCUCAACCGUGGAACUGCAUCGGAAACUGUCAUUCUUGAGUGCAGAAGAGGAGAGUGGAACUCCAUGUGUAGCGGUGGAAUGCGUAGAUAUAUGGAAGAACACCAGUGGCGAAGGCGGCUCUCUGGUCUGCAAACUGACGCUGAGGCUCGAAAAGCAUGGGUAGCGAACAGGAUUAGAUACCCUGGUAGUCCAUGCCGUAAAACGAUGAGCGCUAGGUGUUG
rnacentral:rRNA from 1 species